AAUAACUCAGGGAAACUUGAGCUAAUACCGCAUAAUGCAGCGGCUCGACAUCGAGACAGUUGUUAAAGCGGGGGAUUGGAGCAAUCCGACCUCGCGCCUAAAGAGAAGCCUGCGGCAGAUUAGCUAGUUGGUGAGGUAACGGCUCACCAAGGUGACGAUCCGUAGCCGGCCUGAGAGGGCGGUCGGCCACACUGACACUGACAUACGGGUCAG
rnacentral:rRNA from 1 species